AUUGAACGCUGGCGGCAGGCCUAACACAUGCAAGUCGAACGAGUGGCGGACGGGUGAGUAAUGUCUGGGAAACUGCCUGGUGGAGGGGGAUAACUACUGGAAACGGUAGCUAAUACCGCAUACCAUCAGAUGUGCCCAGAUGGGAUUAGCUGGUGGGUGGGGUAACGGCACACCAAGGCGACGAUCCCUAGCUGGUCUGAGAGGAUGGCCAGCCACACUGGAACUGAGACACGGUCCAGACUCCUACGGGAGGCAGCAGUGGGGAAUAUUGGACAAUGGGCGCAAGCCUGAUGCAGCCAUGCCGCGUGUGUGAAGAAGGCCUUCGGAUUGUAAAGUACUUUCAGCGGGGAGGCGUUACCCGCAGAAGAAGCACCGGCUAACUCCGUGCCAGCAGCCGCGGUAAUUC
rnacentral:rRNA from 1 species